rnacentral:rRNA from 1 species
AGCAGCCGCGGUAAUUCCAGCUCCAAUAGCGUAUAUUAAAGUUGUUGCAGUUAAAAAGCUCGUAGUUGAAUUUCGGGAUUGACGUGAUGGUCGUGCCUUAAGGGGUAUGAACUGUCGCAGUUGAUUUCUCACCUUCUGGAGAAGCAUGAUGUCCUUAAUUGGGUGUCAUGUGGAACCAGGACCUUUACCUUGAAAAAUUAGAGUGUUUAAAGCAGGCAUUUUGCUCGAAUACAUUAGCAUGGAAUAAUAGAAUAGGACGGCAUGGUUCUAUUUUGUUGGUUUCUAGGAUCACCGUAAUGAUUAAUAGGGAUAGUUGGGGGCAUUAGUAUUCAAUUGUCAGAGGUGAAAUUCUUGGAUUUAUUGAAGACUAACUACUGCGAAAGCAUUUGCCAAGGAUGUUUUCAUUAAUCAAGAACGAAAGUUAGGGGAUCGAAGACGAUCAGAUACCGUCGUAGUCUUAACCAUAAACUAUGCCGACUAGGAAUCAGACUAUGUUAAUUUUUAAUGUACUUAC